ACAUUACAUUCAAACUAAUUUUUAAAAUAUUUGUUCAAGUAUUGUUGCAGAAACAAGUACAGGAUGUUUGUUAGCAGCAUCUGGUCUUGGGAAAAGAGGUGUUCCUGCAGAGAAGAUUGGCAAAGAUACAGCUGAAAAGUUAAUUGAAGAAUUGAUGCAUGGUGGAUGUGUUGAUGAAUAUCUACAAGAUCAGUUGAUUAUAUUUAUGGCACUGGCUGAAGGGAAAUCAAGUUUACUGAGUGGUCCUGUCUCAUUACACACAAGCACUGCCAUUCAUAUAGCAGAAAAACUGACAAAGGUAAGAAAUGUACAAAACAAAACAAAAUGCAGCUCUAACUUACAGUAUUCACAAACUUUAAUCAAAUAAUAAAAUUCCAUUGAAAUAUUUAAAGUAAAUUUACAUUUUAAUUAGCACUUACGAAUAGACUUAAUAUUAUAUUAAGAAAGAACCUUUCAUUUUAAAAAUACUGAAGUAAAAGUAAAUUGUAAGUA